rnacentral:rRNA from 1 species
AGUGAACGCUGGCGGUAGGCCUAACACAUGCAAGUCGAACGGCAGCACAGUAAGAGCUUGCUCUUACGGGUGGCGAGUGGCGGACGGGUGAGGAAUACAUCGGAAUCUACUUUUUCGUGGGGGAUAACGUAGGGAAACUUACGCUAAUACCGCAUACGACCUACGUGUGAAAGCAGGGGAUCUUCGGACCUUGCGCGAUUGAAUGAGCCGAUGUCGGAUUAGCUAGUUGGCGGGGUAAAGGCCCACCAAGGCGACGAUCCGUAGCUGGUCUGAGAGGAUGAUCAGCCACACUGGAGCUGAGGCACGGUCCAGACUCCUACGGGAGGCAGCAGUGGGGAAUAUUGGACAAUGGGCGCAGGCCUGAUCCAGCCAUACCGCGUGGGUGAAGAAGGCCUUCGGGUUGUAAAGCCCUUUUGUUGGGAAAGAAAAGCAGCAGGUUAAUACCCCGCUGUUCUGACGGUACCCAAAGAAUAAGCACCGGCUAACUUCGUG